rnacentral:lncRNA from 1 species
UGUGAUGUAGUCAUUUUAUUUUUAAUGCAUUUUUGCGUCCGAUUUUUAUUAAUCUUUUAUCAGUUUUUUAUGUUUUUUAGUCAAAAUAAUCGGGUCGAUUAUUUAAAAUUAUUUGUUUUUUUAAUUUGAUUUUUAUUUGAGUCAUUUACUUUUAUUAAUUGUUGAAGUUACGUGUAUUUAUUUUAAUUUAUCAUAAAAAAAUAAAAU